rnacentral:rRNA from 1 species
UGGCUCAGGAUUAACGCUGGCGGUGUGUAUAAUACAUGCAAGUCGAGCGCCCGGCACUCUGUUCCCAAAUAUGUUGGUGAUAGUGUGCCGGGAGCGGCGGACGGGUGAGUAACACGUUGGUAACUACCUUGGAAUCAGGGAUAAGCCCUAGAAAUAGGGUCUAAUACCGGAUAGUCCCGUAAGGGUAAAGCAGCAAUGCGUUCCAAGAGGUGCCUGCGGCAUAUCAGCUUGUUGGUGAGGUAAUGGCUCACCAAGGCUAUGACGUGUAGCUGGUCUGAGAGGACGGCCAGCCACAAUGGGACUGAGACACGGCCCAUACUCCUACGGGAGGCAGCAGUAAAGAAUCUUUCACAAUGGGGGAAACCCUGAUGAAGCAACACCGCGUGGAGGAUGAAGGCGUUUUCGUUGUAAACUCCUUUUCUGAGGGAAUAAUCUUGAAGGUACCCCAGGAAUAAGCAACGGCUAACUACGUGCCAGCAGCCGCGGUAAUACGUAGGUUGCAAGCGUUAUCCGGAAUUAUUGGGCGUAAAGCGUGCGCAGGCGGGUCGCUAAGUUGGAUGUUAAAUCCCUGAGCUCAACUCAGGAUUGGUAUCCAAAACUGACGAUCUAGAGAAAUGCAGAGGUAAGUGGAAUUCUGUAUGUAGGGGUAAUAUCCGUAGAUAUACAGAGGAACACCAAAAGCGAAGGCAGCUUACUGGGCAUUUUCUGACGCUCAUGCACGAAAGCGUGGGGAGCAAACGGGAUUAGAUACCCUGGUAGUCC